UACCAGCACCCCGAGUGGUCGGGACGAUUAUUGGGCCUAAAGCAUCCGUAGCCGGUUCUACAAGUCUUCCGUUAAAUCCACCUGCUUAACAGAUGGGCUGCGGAGGAUACUAUAGAGCUAGGAGGCGGGAGAGGCAAGCGGUACUUAGUGGGUAGGGGUAAAAUCCGUUGAUCCAUUGAAGACCACCAGAGGCGAAGGCGGCUUGCCAGAACGCACUCGACGGUGAGGGAUGAAAGCUGGGGGAGCAAACCGG
rnacentral:rRNA from 1 species